rnacentral:rRNA from 1 species
AUUGAACGCUGGCGGCAGGCUUAACACAUGCAAGUCGAGCGGAGAUGAGGUGCUUGCACCUUAUCUUAGCGGCGGACGGGUGAGUCAUGCUUAGGAAUCUGCCUAUUAGUGGGGGACAACAUUCCGAAAGGAAUGCUAAUACCGCAUACGCCCUACGGGGGAAAGCAGGGGAUCUUCGGACCUUGACCUAAUAGAUGAGCCUAAGUCGGAGUAGCUAGUUGGUGGGGUAAAGGCCUACCAAGGCGACGAUCUGUAGCGGGUCGGAGAGGAUGAUCGGCCACACUGGGACUGAGACACGGCCCAGACUCCUACGGGGGGCAGCAGUGGGGAAUAUUGGACAAUGGGCGGAAGCCUGAUCCAGCCAUGCCGCGUGUGUGAAGAAGGCCUUUUGGUUGUAAAGCACUUUAAGCGAGGAGGAGGCUACCUGGAUUAAUACUCUAGGAUAGUGGACGUUACUCGCAGAAUAAGCACCGGCUAACUCUGUGCCAGCAGCCGCCGUAACAC